rnacentral:rRNA from 1 species
AGUGAACGCUGGCGGUAGGCCUAACACAUGCAAGUCGAACGGCAGCACAGUAAGAGCUUGCUCUUACGGGUGGCGAGUGGCGGACGGGUGAGGAAUACAUCGGAAUCUACUUUUUCGUGGGGGAUAACGUAGGGAAACUUACGCUAAUACCGCAUACGACCUACGGGUGAAAGCAGGGGAUCUUCGGACCUUGCGCGAUUGAAUGAGCCGAUGUCGGAUUAGCUGGUUGGCGGGGUAAAGGCCCACCAAGGCGACGAUCCGUAGCUGGUCUGAGAGGAUGAUCGGCCACACUGGAACUGAGACACGGUCCAGACUCCUACGGGAGGCAGCAGUGGGGAAUAUUGGACAAAGGGCGCAAGCCUGAUCCAGCCAUACCGCGUGGGUGAAGAAGGCCUUCGGGUUGUAAAGCCCUUUUGUUGGGAAAGAAAAGCAGCAGGUUAAUACCCCGCUGUUCUGACGGUACCCAAAGAAUAAGCACCGGCUAACUUCGUG